rnacentral:lncRNA from 1 species
AUGUAUUUUGGUGGCCAGUCAAGCAUAAGGAAGUCAAAAGCACGUUUGCUGGUUGCUUUAUGUCUGCUGCACAGUUUCCCACAUAGACCUGUGCUAAAGAUGCUGUCACGAAAUCUUGUAAUUGCCUCAGUAGCUGUUGUGCUUCUGGCGUCCACCCUAUCUACGGCUCCUGUUGAAGAUAAGGAGCCUGAAGAAAAUGACUUUGAGGCUGAAGAGGGUGAAGAAGAACUGUCUGAGGAGGAAGAGGAUGAUGAUGACUCCAAAGGUCAGCAUAUGAAGGGAGCCGGAUCGCAGCAGGCCACUGCAGCACCCAAAGGCUUGGGUAUGACUCCUGGCAGCGCCGUUGCGGGCGAAUCCCCAAACGGUAAGGAAAGUCUACUCGAUAACGCAAAAACAAGUUCUGUACGGAGUGCAUUAGCCUCCCAUGGCCUCCGGUGAAAGGUGAAUUUGUUGAAAGCUCAAUGGCCACUUUUCAGGCCUUUCUGAAGUCCAAUACAUCUUUUGACAAAACCUUUGCUCUUGUUUCCCAGGUCAGAAACUUAAUGGUGGCACUCAAACUGGCCAAGUCUGUAAGUGUGAACCUGAUCUAUCAGGGGCAAAACUUUCACACAAAUCGUACUUUAGAAAAGCAACACCGACUGACCUUGUGUAGGAAAUACACUACAGAGCUACAAUAUACGCACAUGGUCAUAGCUGAACAUCAGAAGGUCAAAUCUAGAUAUAUCUUCUCAUUCAUGGCCAAUUAAAAACUAAACUAGUGUUUUUGUCAUUACAGCAUCAGGCAGCACAUCAGCAGCUUCAAAUGGAGCAAAUGGUGACCAGCAUUUCAAUCAGAAUUUAUUAAAACAGCUCUGCAUCUUGAGAAAAAACAAAAAAAAACAUUCUGUUGAAUUUCUUGUUGUAUUUGACAAAAAAGAAAAAGGCCUAUUAUUACCCUAGUUUUUAUGAUGCUGUAUUUACAAAAAUAUAAAAUAAAAACUUCCUAUCACAUUUUCUUCCCCACACAAAAUUUAUGUUUUAUGUGCUUUUAAUGUACUUGUCAAAACAACAAAAGCAGCUAAAUGUUAAAGGUAUCUAUAAAACAAGUAUUCAAAAUGUAUAAUUUAACUUACAAUUUGCAAAGGAGUAGAAAAAAAAUCAAAUAUGUUCAAAAUAAGAUAAUAAAUAAAUAAGCUUUUUUAACCAAAUCUGUAAUUUUCUGUUGCUGCUUGUGUGUAAUAAAUCAUCCACAGAUCUGGGUUAUGUUUGCAUGUUCUUCUGUUGCUGGCAUUAACUCUAACCGUGAAAUUAGACAUAAAAUAAUGUCAUAUAUUUGAAUAUCGGCUGAGAAUGUAUCAAAUAGUUGUAAUCUGGCUCAGAGAAGGACAGAAAUCAUAUAUUUGUGGCAGCUGAUAAUGGGAUAAUACUAAAUUUCCCAACAUUACAAAUGGUUGUACAAUGAAAAAAUGCUUCAAAAUGCACAUCAUAUUUUGUGAGAAAGUGACAUGCUAGGGCAAAACAGGCACUAUUUUUGGAAUCAGCAUCCCCAAAAGUAGUAAGAAAAUUUUCUGUUGCUGCUUGUGUGUAAUAAAUCAUCCACAGAUCUGGGUUAUGUUUGCAUGUUCUUCUGUUGCUGGCAUUAACUCUAACCGUGAAAUUAGACAUAAAAUAAUGUCAUAUAUUUGAAUAUCGGCUGAGAAUGUAUCAAAUAGUUGUAAUCUGGCUCAGAGAAGGACAGAAAUCAUAUAUUUGUGGCAGCUGAUAAUGGGAUAAUACUAAAUUUCCCAACAUUACAAAUGGUUGUACAAUGAAAAAAUGCUUCAAAAUGCACAUCAUAUUUUGUGAGAAAGUGACAUGCUAGGGCAAAACAGGCACUAUUUUUGGAAUCAGCAUCCCCAAAAGUAGUAAGAAACAAGUAUUGGAUUUUAUUCAGAAAAUAUGAUGCAGGGUGGUGAGUAAUUAAUAAAGUGUUGUUAUUUAAAUAAACUACUAACUGCAUGUCCUUGGAUUACUGGAGCAUUUUUAAGAUUGACAGCAGUGAUUUAUUAUUGUACAAAGAAUUUCCUCUCAGUAAUAUUUCUGUGUGGGUUACAGGAAGUAACGGUAGAGACGGGUACUCUCAGCCAUCUGGCUCAAGUUCUCAUGGUACUGUACCUGUUCAUCUGCUGUAAAUAUGCUUUUCUUUUUACUCUUACAAGUUUACUGCCUAAUCAUUGAAAUUAUUUCACUUACAGAUGCAAGUUAUGGUGGACAAGAUGGGUCCAAAUCAGAGAUAGUUCCCCCAGGUACCUGAUCACAGAAUCUGGAAUAGAAUAGAAUAGAAUAGAAUAGAAUCUGGAAUAGAAUAGAAUAGAAUAGAAUAGAAUAGAAUAGAAUAGAAUAGAAUAGAAUAGAAUAGAAUAGAAAUAUGGCAUGGCAUAAAUACUAUAUACACUAAAAAUACUAAAAAGGUUUAUUAUGUAGUACAUUCCAUACUAAAAUUAAAUUUAAAAAAAUGUUAUAAUAUAAUAUAAUAUAAUAUAAUAUAAUAUAAUAUAAUAUAAUAUAAUAUAAUAUAAUAUAAUAUAAUAUAAUAUAAUAUAAUAUAAUAUAAUAAUUGACAUACACAGCCAAUCAAAUGUUUGAGGUCAGUAAGAAUUU